rnacentral:lncRNA from 1 species
AAUUGUUGUUAUAUGAUGGAAUUGGUGUGAAAUUCGUGUACCCUAUGUAUGCAUAUGUUUUUGUUUUGAUAUUGUUGAUGAUAUUAUGCCAUUGGUUGAUGUUUGAAGGUUUUGACCUUGGUUAUGUUAUUGGUGAUUUAGAGAUGAUGAGCAUUAUGAUGUUGAUUCAUGAACCUAUGGAGUAAAAGAUGAAUUAGGAAGUUAUAACCAUAAGAAAUUGGAUUUAUUUGAUAGAUU